UACAGAGGGGGCAAGCGUUGUUCGGAAUUACUGGGCGUAAAGGGCGCGUAGGCGGCCUUCUAAGUCGAACGUGAAAUCCCCGGGCUCAACCCGGGAACUGCGUCCGAUACUGGCAGACUUGAGUACCGGAGAGGAAGGUGGGAUUCCCGGUGUAGCGGUGAAAUGCGUAGAUAUCGGGAGGAACACCGGUGGCGAAGGCGGCCUUCUGGACGGAUACUGACGCUGAGACGCGAAAGCGUGGGGAGCAAACAGG
rnacentral:rRNA from 1 species